rnacentral:rRNA from 1 species
UUCCGGUUGAUCCUGCCAGAGGUCACUGCUAUCAGUGUUCGACUAAGCCAUGCAAGUCAAAUGUUCUUCGUGAACAUGGCGGACUGCUCAGUAACACGUGGAUAACCUGCCCUUAGGAUUGGCAUAACACCGGGAAACUGGUGAUAAUACCGAAUAGACCAUUUAUGCUGGAAUGCUUUUUGGUUCAAAGGCUUCGGCUGCCUAAGGAUGGAUCUGCGGCCUAUCAGGUAGUAGUGGGUGUAAUGUACCUACUAGCCUACGACGGGUACGGGUUGUGAGAGCAAGAGCCCGGAGAUGGAUUCUGAGACAUGAAUCCAGGCCCUACGGGGCGCAGCAGGCGCGAAAACUUUACAAUGCGGGAAACCGCGAUAAGGGGACACUGAGUGCCAGCAUAUUAUGUUGGCUGUCCACAUGUAUAAAAACCAUGUGUUAGCAAGGGCCGGGCAAGACCGGUGCCAGCCGCCGCGGUAACACCGGCGGCCCGAGUGGUGAUCACUUUUAUUGGGUCUAAAGGGUCCGUAGCCGGUUUGAUCAGUCCUCUGGGAAAUCUGACAGCUCAACUGUUAGGCUUCCAGGGGAUACUGUCAGACUUGGGACCGGGAGAGGUAAGAGGUACUACAGGGGUAGGAGUGAAAUCUUGUAAUCCCUGUGGGACCACCAGUGGCGAAGGCGUCUUACCAGAACGGGUCCGACGGUGAGGGACGAAAGCUAGGGGCACGAACCGGAUUAGAUACCCGGGUAGUCCUAGCCGUAAACGAUGUUCGCUAGGUGUCAGGGACGGUGCGACCGUUUCUGGUGCCGCAGGGAAGCCGUGAAGCGAACCACCUGGGAAGUACGGCCGCAAGGCUGAAACUUAAAGGAAUUGGCGGG